AACAUUAUGAUGAACACGGACUGCUCAGUCUGACGAGAAUUUCAGAAGAUGAACGUAAAUGACUUCGAGAAUUUCUCCACUAAACCCAAUCCCAAAUAAGCGAUUUAAUCCACAAAACUUGAUCAGAUGAAGGGGAUUAAUAUUUGGCUUCUCACCUAGAGAACCACAGCGAGCACGACGCCGAAACUCCCGGCGUCUACUCCUUCUUCUCCGCCUCUUCACCUUUCCAUCAUCUCCGAUCCAACUCGCCACGAUCC
rnacentral:lncRNA from 1 species